rnacentral:rRNA from 1 species
AUUGAACGCUGGCGGAAUGCUUUACACAUGCAAGUCGAACGGCAGCACGGGGCAACCUGGUGGCGAGUGGCGAACGGGUGAGUAAUACAUCGGAACGUGCCCAAUCGUGGGGGAUAACGUAGCGAAAGUUACGCUAAUACCGCAUACGAUCUACGGAUGAAAGCGGGGAUCGCAAGACCUCGCGCGAAUGGAGCGGCCGAUGUCAGAUUAGGUAGUUGGUGGGGUAAAGGCUCACCAAGCCAACGAUCUGUAGCUGGUCUGAGAGGACGACCAGCCACACUGGAACUGAGACGCGGUCCAGACUCCUACGGGAGGCAGCAGUGGGGAAUUUUGGACAAUGGGCGCAAGCCUGAUCCAGCCAUUCCGCGUGCAGGAUGAAGGCCUCGGUUGUAACUAGCUUUUGUACGGUAACGAAACGGACGAGCU